rnacentral:rRNA from 1 species
UACGUAGGGUGCAAGCGUUAAUCGGAAUUACUGGGCGUAAAGCGUGCGCAGGCGGUUGUGUAAGUCUGUCGUGAAAGCCCCGGGCUCAACCUGGGAAUUGCGAUGGAGACUGCAAGGCUUGAAUCUGGCAGAGGGGGGUAGAAUUCCACGUGUAGCAGUGAAAUGCGUAGAGAUGUGGAGGAACACCGAUGGCGAAGGCAGCCCCCUGGGUCAAGAUUGACGCUCAUGCACGAAAGCGUGGGGAGCAAACAGG